AUUGAACGCUGGCGGUAGGCCUAACACAUGCAAGUCGAACGAGUGGCGGACGGGUGAGGAAUGCAUCGGAAUCUACUCUUUCGUGGGGGAUAACGUAGGGAAACUUACGCUAAUACCGCAUACGAAAGAAUGAGCCGAUGCCCGAUUAGAUAGUUGGAGGGGUAAGAGCCCACCAAGGCGACGAUCGGUAGCUGGUCUGAGAGGAUGAACAGCCACACUGGAACUGAGACACGGUCCAGACUCCUACGGGAGGCAGCAGUGGGGAAUAUUGGACAAUGGGCGCAAGCCUGAUCCAGCCAUGCCGCGUGUCUGAAGAAGGCCUUCGGGUUGUAAAGGACUUUUGUCAGGGAAGCGGUACCUGAAGAAUAAGCACCGGCUAACUACGUGCCAGCAGCCGCGGUAAUAC
rnacentral:rRNA from 1 species